rnacentral:rRNA from 1 species
CCAAUAGCGUAUAUUAAAGUUGUUGCAGUUAAAAAGCUCGUAGUUGAAUUUCGGGGUCAGUAGAUUGGUCAUGCCUCCGGUAUGUACUGGUCUUACUGGCUCCUCCUCCCUGAUGAACCGUAAUGCCAUUAAUUUGGUGUUGCGGGGAAACUGGACUGUUACCUUGAAAAAAUUAGAGUGUUUAAAGCAGGCUAACGCUUGAAUACAUUAGCAUGGAAUAAUGAAAUAGGACGUUCGAUCUUAUUUUGUUGGUUUCUAGGAUUGACGUAAUGAUUAAUAGGGAUAGUUGGGGGCAUUAGUAUUCAAUUGUCAGAGGUGAAAUUCUUGGAUUUAUUGAAGACUAACUACUGCGAAAGCAUUUGCCAAGGAUGUUUUCAUUAAUCAAGAACGAAAGUUAGGGGAUCGAAGACGAUCAGAUACCGUCGUAGUCUUAACCAUAAACUAUGCCGACUAGGGAUCGGAUGAUGUUAAUUUUUUAAUGACUCAUUCGGCGCCUUACG